rnacentral:misc_RNA from 1 species
CGCUCUGGACCUUCGCGGCCGUAAAAUCCGGCGCUCACCGAAUCGCUCGCUCGGCGGUUUGCGUGUUGCGCCCGGUGGCCCCGUGGUCUUAAGCACAAGCCGCGCCGUUGUCCGUGUUCGUCUCGGGACGUCCGCGACGCCGCCUUGCUCUCGGCGGCGGCCAAAUUUCCUCUCCGUCACCGCUAUGCGGGACCCGGCUCGCUCUCGCUAACGGGCCCGCUUAUAACCAGCUUCAGGGUGACGGGCGGAGGAGAGAAGCUUACGCUGACGCUCGAUCGACGAGUCGGCGCCCGUACGAAAAAAAUUGGAAAAAAAAUAACCGUGCGUUGCGCGUUAUUUUUUUUUUCCUUUCUUUCCCAACUCCAAUCGGAAGAAAUUACCCCCUGAAUUUAAACAUAAAAAA